rnacentral:rRNA from 1 species
GGACGAACGCUGGCGGCGUGCUUAACACAUGCAAGUCGAGCGGUAAGGCCCUUCGGGGUACACGAGCGGCGAACGGGUGAGUAACACGUGGGUGAUCUGCCUCGUACUUCGGGAUAAGCCUGGGAAACUGGGUCUAAUACCGGAUAUGACCACAGGAUGCAUGUCUUGUGGUGGAAAGAUUUAUCGGUACGAGAUGGGCCCGCGGCCUAUCAGCUUGUUGGUGGGGUAAUGGCCUACCAAGGCGACGACGGGUAGCCGGCCUGAGAGGGCGACCGGCCACACUGGGACUGAGACACGGCCCAGACUCCUACGGGAGGCAGCAGUGGGGAAUAUUGCACAAUGGGCGAAAGCCUGAUGCAGCGACGCCGCGUGAGGGAUGACGGCCUUCGGGUUGUAAACCUCUUUCGACAGGGACGAAGCGCAAGUGACGGUACCUGUAGAAGAAGCACCGGCCAACUAC